GAUGAACGCUGGCGGCGUGCCUAAUACAUGCAAGUCGAGCGAAUGGAUUAAGAGCUUGCUCUUAUGAAGUUAGCGGCGGACGGGUGAGUAACACGUGGGUAACCUGCCCAUAAGACUGGGAUAACUCCGGGAAACCGGGGCUAAUACCGGAUAACAUUUUGGACCGCAUGGUUCGAAAUUGAAAGGCGGCUUCGGCUGUCACUUAUGGAUGGACCCGCAUCGCAUUAGCUAGUUGGUGAGGUAACGGCUCACCAAGGCAACGAUGCGUAGCCGACCUGAGAGGGUGAUCGGCCACACUGGGACUGAGACACGGCCCAGACUCCUACGGGAGGCAGCAGUAGGGAAUCUUCCGCAAUGGACGAAAGUCUGACGGAGCAACGCCGCGUGAGUGAUGAAGGCUUUCGGGUCGUAAAACUCUGUUGUUAGGGAAGAACAAGUGCUAGUUGAAUAAGCUGGCACCUUGACGGUACCUAACCAGAAAGCCACGGCUAACUACGUGCCAGCCGCCGCUGUAA
rnacentral:rRNA from 1 species